rnacentral:rRNA from 1 species
CCUACGGGAGGCAGCAGUGGGGAAUAUUGCGCAAUGGGCGGAAGCCUGACGCAGCGACGCCGCGUGGGGGAUGAAGGCCUUCGGGUUGUAAACCUCUUUCAGCAGGGGCGAAGCGAGAGUGACGGUACCUGCAGAAGAAGCGCCGGCUAACUACGUGCCAGCAGCCGCGGUAACACGUAGGGCGCGAGCGUUGUCCGGAAUUAUUGGGCGUAAAGAGCUCGUAGGCGGCUUGUCGCGUCUGCUGUGAAAUCCCGGGGCUUAACCCCGGGCGUGCAGUGGAUACGGGCUGGCUGGAGGCAGGCAGGGGAGAAUGGAAUUCCCGGUGUAGCGGUGAAAUGCGCAGAUAUCGGGAGGAACACCGGUGGCGAGGCGGUUCUCUGGGCCUGUUCUGACGCUGAGGAGCGAAAGCGUGGGGAGCGAACAGGAUUAGAUACCCUGGUAGUCCACGCCGUAAACGUUGGGCGCUAGGUGUGGGGUCCUUCCACGGGCUCUGUGCCGCAGCUAACGCAUUAAGCGCCCCGCCUGGGGAGUACGGCCGCAAGGCUAAAACUCAAAGGAAUUGACGG